GACGAACGCUGGCGGCGUGCUUAACACAUGCAAGUCGAACGGUAAGGCCCUUCGGGGUACACGAGUGGCGAACGGGUGAGUAACACGUGGGUGAUCUGCCCUGCACUUCGGGAUAAGCCUGGGAAACUGGGUCUAAUACCGGAUAGGACCACUGCCUGCAUGGGUGGUGGUGGAAAGCUUUUGCGGUGUGGGAUGGGCCCGCGGCCUAUCAGCUUGUUGGUGGGGUGAUGGCCUACCAAGGCGACGACGGGUAGCCGGCCUGAGAGGGUGACCGGCCACACUGGGACUGAGAUACGGCCCAGACUCCUACGGGAGGCAGCAGCGGGGAGUAUUGCACAAUGGGCGCAAGCCUGAUGCAGCGACGCCGCGUGAGGGAUGACGGCCUUCGGGUUGUAAACCUCUUUCAGUAGGGACGAAGCGCAAGUGACGGUACCUACAGAAGAAGGACCGGCCAACUACGUGCCAGCAGCCGCCGCAG
rnacentral:rRNA from 1 species